ensembl:lncRNA
UGAGCUAGUAGAGGUAUGUGGUGAAGUGAGCUAGUAGAGGUAGGUGGUGAAGUGAGCUAGUAGAGGUAGGUGGUGAAGUGAGCUAGUAGAGGUAGGUGCUGAAGUGAGCAAGCUAGCCUGUAUCAAUAGAAGCAAGUCGUCCUUCGCAGCGUCACUUCGCAGUUCCAGAUGUUGCCGGUGGUUUCUCAUCUGCAAUCACGCCGUUAGUUUCACGUGUGCGCUGUUCCGUCACACGCUGAGCUUCAGGUCGGCAAACUAAAGUUAACGAACACGUCCGCUCUGCUCAAUCACCUAAAAACGAUAAAACGGAGGCGGAGGCCGGACUUACUUUAACGUCUAUGAAAAGGGUCCACGCGCCCACAGGUGUUAGAAAGACUUGUUAGCUUCAGGCUAGCUCCUCCUGUUCACCGCCGUCCAGACAGCGUUAGCUUAGCAACAACUACCAACAACGCCAACUGCCACCGGCGGUGUCAAAGACCCCCCCAACAAUAAAACACGGAGCCGGUAUCCGCUUAUCAGAAUGUAUUCAUACGUACCCCGUCACGUGAACUGUGCCGAACAUGACGUCCCGUCGGUGGGUCGAAGGUGGCGGUUCUUGCGUCGGGGUGAAGUAACGUUAGCUAAGUUAGCUGAAAACUCCGAUUGAUACGUCACGACCAAAGAUCGUUUGCUGAGACGAGAGACACUCUCCGCCUCACUUCCUGGUUUGCUUCUAAACCGACAGCAAUUACAUUCAGCAGAAUGGUUUAAUGCGUAUUUACGCGAUGACAUUGGGUGAAAGGGAUCGGAAUAAAAUAUUAAAAAACAAAGAAAUAAACAUUGAAGUGUAUCAUGUUUAUUAUAUAGUCAGGCAGUACUUGGAUUGGUAGAUGGAUCACUUGAAUUCACAAACUACUGCUUCUACAAUGACAUUCAGCCACUAAUGUUUUUUUCAGCGUGGUUAUUUUAGCUUCGUCAACAAUAUCACUUUCUGGAAAAUAUUAAAUUACAAAAACAAAUGCAAUCGUGAAAUAAUAGGAGUGCAAAACUGGACUGGCCCAGAGGCUAUUUUUUGACUAGGGGGUUAUAUUAUUAAAGGAUAAUAAAAAAUAAUAAUGUUUAAUAGAAAAAGGAGUUGGUGGUGAUAAGUAGAAUAUGCCGUUCCAUUUAGUCCAAGAAUCAUAAAGUUGCAUUUAAUGUCCUUUAGUUAUUAAAAGAUAAGUUUAAUUAACAAAUUGUUCUCGGGGUAAAAUAUUUGCGUUGGCAGAUGUUGACACAUGUAGGCCUAAAAUAUGCCUUCGAUUACACAAAUCAAUCCCUGCCUUUUAAAUGAGCGAUGAAUCCCCAAACUAUGUAAUUAAGUAAAGCAAAAAGUUGUUUCUGUCUCGGUGUUACUUGUUUCUUUGCAUUCUGUGUCCCACAACCCACCACAAUGCAAGUCAGCAUUAGACCGUUGUUGUGAGAAUUGAGGAAAUCCUUCAGCCUCCUUCGGGUCCUCGCUGAGGAGCAGUCAGCAUGUGGACCACACGUCUCCUCAACAUCUCCCCACUAGAGGUCUCCCUGGAGGGAAGACCAACAGCUUUACUCUCCUUGUUUCGCAUUCUCCCUUGUGGUGUCUCUGUUCCUGUUUUCAUUGCUCUUCUCUCUUACUUCCCUUUCCCCGCCCGGUCCUUCUUAUCAUUCUCCUUCUUCCUAAUAGCCUUUCCUCUCCUCCGCCUCCUCCGCCCCUUACUCACAGUUCAUCCUUUCCAUUCUUUUGACUUCUUUCUUGCCUCAUCUCCUUUCUUAUAUUCUGCCGGAUUAUCCUAUUUUCACUCUCCUUCCUCUGUCCUCUGGUUCUCACUUCCUCCUUGUUUCCUUUCUUCAAUCUCUUCCCUCUUUUUUAAUUUCCUUUUGCUUUCAUCCUUCCCAUCCCUCCUCACCUUUCUUUCCUCUUUUUGUUCUCUCCUUUUCCUAUCUGAUCUCUGAUUUGGAUUUAUUUGUAAUUUAAAUGUUUUUUUGCUCUUCUUCCUUAUACCACUUCUCUGCUCCUUCUCAUCAUUCUCCCACUCAUCCUUUACUCCUCUUUGGACUCUUCUGUUUUCAUAUCCUCCCCUCUAUCCCACUGGCAUGUCAGCGCUUGCAGAGAGAGAGAGAGAGAGAGAGAGGGAGAGAGAGAGAGGGAGAGAGAGAGAGAGAGAGAGAGAGAGAGAGGGAGAGAGAGAGAGAGAGAGAGGGAGAGAGAGAGAGAGAGGGAGAGAGAGAGAGAGAGAGAGAGGGAGAGAGAGAGAGCAGCAGGACUACUUCUGUCAGAGCUGAGGACGUUCCAGUCUCAAGUGCCACUGAGAGUCUGCAGGACCAGCUGGUUGUCCCAGGAGAAUAGCCAGUCCAUCAACAAACACACGAACGAUCAAAAGCGACUGAAUUGACGCCUUUGAGGACUAUUGGAAAUAUUGGAACCUGAAGAAAACCUGAAGAAAACCUGAAGAAAGGAAAUUAAGGAAGAAAAAGUGACCUGGGAAAAGAAGAAGGGAUUGUGAGAACAACCACAAGAGGACGUUGGUGUCUGAUGCUUCUGCUCAGAUACAAAGUAAAGAAGAUUAUACAUAAAGAAGAAUCUUGAAAAGCGGAAAUCACAACCACGCAUAUUUAUGCAGUUUUUAAUCCAAAAGAAUAAGAAGGAACUAAGCAAGAAUAAGCGAAUCAGAAGAGGAAUAUGUUUUUCUAUCAUCCUUUUAACGAUCAAACGUGUUUUAGAACAACAUUUGCGUGAAUUCUCGGCGGUCCGAUAAGAGACGGAGGAACUAGAAGGACAGAAUAUCAACCUGUCAGCUAAAAGCGAAUGAAGGAAAAUAAUAUAUUUUCUUUUUUUUUUUUUUUUUAAGUUGGACAUUUUCAAUCAAGAAUCUGAAUUUGCAGUUUGGUGCAAUCAUAGCAGGAGUAACAAGUCAUAAGUGACAAAAUAAAAAGGGUAUAAAGUAAUAAAGUAAUACAGCAAUAAAGCGGAAAGUAAAUAUUUAAAAAAAAGGGGUUCAAAGAGGACACCGAGAAGGAAUAAAUAAGGACGGAAAGGAAGACUAAAGCCGAAACGAGGACAAAUCCAAAGAACCAAACUAAACUACACAACAAAAAAGAGGGACUAAAGGGAGAAAUCACAAGGGGGUGAGCAUGAGGCUCCUGGUGCUCCUUGCGGCUCCUCUCUCCAUCCUCCUCCUCCACGUUGCAGCGGUGGCCCCCGUGGCCCCCGUGGCCCCCGGGGGCGGCGUGGCCCCGGCCCGCUUGGAGCGCUGGGUCCGCUCGGGCCUCCAGUCGCUGCAGUGGGACCAGCUGGACCGGUGCCUCCGCAUGUCCUCGCUCUCCGAGGCCGAGUGCAGGCGGCUCGCCCACCUGCCGCUGUCCGCCGUGGCCGUGUACGUGUCGGAGCCUCGCACAGCCGCAGGUACGGAGGUCCGUGGGUCCGGGGGUCAAAGCGUCUAUGGAUGAUGCUUGAAAUGUUUCUGCAUAAAAGAUAUUGAUUUAUGGGCACAGCCACAUAAAAUCACAAGAAUCUGUGUGGUACACGUAUUCAUUUACUACAACUGCAACAUUUCAAAUCCUGUCCAAUGCUUCUGAAAUGCAGUUUGCAUAUUCAGCAUUUACAUGCUGGCAUAGAAGUGUGUUUUAAAUAUGUAAUCGAUAAUGGAACAAAAUCAGUGGAAAUGGAAAAAUAAUCUAUGCAGAUGAUAGUCAUUUAUUUGAAUGGGAAUAACUAAUCCAGAUUAUGUGAAGGGAGACACACCAGGUAGAGUAGAAAAGAAGGAAAGGACAGCGGUGGGGGCUUUGCAUGAAGGCAGAUUCAAAAUUCUUGUUUAAUUUCGUUGCUGUAUGAAAGGGAGGAAUAAAGACACAUCAUCAGUCGGUCACUUGAAGACACUUGUUUCUAAAUACACACUAUUGUUCCCGACCCCACCGCCUCCCCCUCAGGUAACGCAGACACAGUCGUGGCCAUCCUGCCGGACUCCUCGGGCGGCUCCGCGGGCUCCAAACUGCGGGGAGGGUUCAGGCAGCAGCAGUCUUCCCCCGGCUCCGCGGCCCACGAUGCCGUGCUGGUGCUGGAUCCGAGCCCCGGGGAGAACUUUGGGCACCCGGUGGUCCUGUUCUACGUGGAUGUGAACGUGACGAAGAAGAGAUGCUCUCACCUGGAUGGCAUUUACCUGGGUGAGACACGGGGGAAGCGUUGAACUAGGCAUUACGGGCAGCUGUGGUUGUCUGUUGAAUGGAAAACAAAGCUGUAUUAGAAAACACCACGAACGUCUACAAACCACCUCUCUAGAAGAUCUUUAGCGCCUUCAGACUUUACACCACAACAAUAUGUGUGUAUCGGAAUUCAGUUAGGUACUUUGAGAUGGAACAUGACCAGAAAAGUCUGAAGGUGCUAAAGAUCUUCUAGAGGGUUAAGGACGUCCUGCUUUCACCUGCGUCCUCAGCUCGUGAGCACACACGACAUUUGACUACAAAGUCCUCCCGAACCUCUGAAUGUCCACUGUGCCCCUGCGGUGUUGAUAGAAGCAGCAAAAGCAUCUCCAGUGAGGUGCCACAGGGAUCCGGUUUUGGUCCUUUACCAUUUAUGUUAUUCAUCAUCCAUAUCCUCCAAAUCAAAGUCUUCAAUGCAGAUCGUACCGUUUUGUAUCCACGUUCCUUCAAUCCAACCCGGUCUCCUCCUCCGUGUGCCUUUCACAUUUUCACUUAACAUGUUUGGAAUUUACAUGUAAAAGUAUAUAAAAGCAGUAUUAUAAUAUCUAGUCGUGGUAUUGGGUUUCCUGAAUUGGUCAAUAUGACUGUUUUUGUUCUUUCUCUGUGAUUAUGAAUUUAAUUCUGAAUCAGUAGUACUCAAUGUGCGCGUAUUUAGUGUCGUGAUGAAAGCUCCAUUUGUAGCUCAUUGGGUGACACGGGACACUUCUCUGCUCAGGGCGCUGUGACACAGCAACAUCCUCGGCCCUUUUUGCCCCACGGCCAAAUCCAAUUAAUCUGUCCAUGUGUGUCCACGUGUGUUCUCGCACUUCUAUCUACAACCCUUUGAAGGUUUAGACUUAGAAAUUAGACAUUUUGCCAGUUCAGAAUAUUGAGCAUCACUUCAUUAUAUUUUAGCUGCUGCUUUCAAUAGCAACUUAUUUUGUGACUUCAUUGAAAAAAGCGUGAACAAGACCAGCAGUUCUUCCGUGACAUUGAAGCCGGAGUAUUUUGGUCAUAUUUGUAAAAGGGGUUGCUUCUCUAAAAAGCCCCACUGAUGGUGGUGGCCAACAACGUCCUCACUGUGGAUAAAAGGCCAAAAGUGAGAGUAAAAGUAAAGUGCUUCAUCCGUGUAGAAACAGUCCAAGGGGACAUCGUUUCUGUGAUGGUCCUCACAAGUCCUGCAGGAGAGACGAGUUUGAAAGUGCAGAUUGUUGACUUCCUGCUGUGAGAGCGGUUAGGGCCGGAUGCUGAGGUGAAUUUGGCCCUUCAAUUAUUCAUACACACACACACACACAGCGCUGAGCCCCCUGCUGGGUCUUGUAGAGGGUUCUUGGACCAAAGUCUUUUAAAGUGAAACUUUCUUGAGACCCCAUUUAACCUGGCGAGGGGAUGCAGAGCCAGAGAUGCCGAGCUGGAUUCAAUUGAGAUGCAACACAAGCGAGCAAAUCCUCCCCGAAACUCUCUCUGUCUCCCUUCAACACUUGUUCUCACUCACCUGUCGACCGAGUUUAAAGUGACGGCCCGUUGAUUUCCCAGCGCGACAAACGAGCUAAACCUUUAUCAUCAGGGCGUCUUCUGUGUCUCCAGGCGAGGAGUGUUUGACUCUGGCUCUGAAGGGCCGUUGCCAGAACCAGCUGAAGCGUCGCCAAGCCGGGCCGGAGAGGCUCAUGGGUAACGGGCAUCGACUGGCCGGCGGGCCGCUGCGCGCUAGCGUCACCACCACUGGCGGUGGAAGCCGUCUGGUGGAGCGGCCCGUCGGGGGGCUCUGUGAAGUCCACUUCCUUCCGCUGGUGGUCGGAGCCGGAGACAGCAACCGAACGCAGAGGCUCAAGUGUGUCGGUAGGUUCCUUCUCUCGAGGCUCAGCAGAACUCCACAGAAGAAGGUCUGCUCUCCCUCUUUUGUUGCAGGGUACCAAUGUCCCCCUUGUUCCGGUCUCCACGCUAACCACGUUGCAGGAGUCUCCACCGAACUCAGAUUAAGACGAUAACAGUUUUACAUCUAUAUAAAGUAACAACACCAAACUGCUCAUUCUUGAAAGCCUGAACAUCUCGGAAAACCCUGACGUUGUAAACGCGCCUGGUGGUUUCCCCAUGCUGACGUGCUAAAAGUGCUGAAUGCCUAAUCGUUCCACGACAAAUUCAUCCCGCAUUCUGUAUCACGAUUUAAAUGUGAAGAGAGCAUACUGACUUGCAUAGAUCAUGGUUGUUGGCCGUCAUAGGUUGAGUGACAUUCUGAUUCACGUUCCCUGAGCGAGAUGAAUGAAUUAUUCUCAUGUUGUGCCAAGACCACCCACACCUACAGCCUCUGAGGAGAUCAAAUACUCCUUGACUGUUGAUGGUGCGUACUGUCUGUCGAGUCCACGGGCAUUCCCAGUUUGAUUGGACCUGAAAAACGUACUUGAAUGUUUCAGCACUGAGGCUCUGCUUUCUCUAGAAGUUGUUUCUCAUUGACGUGCCGCCCCCUCUCGCUCCAUCAGAUCAUGCGGAGUUUGCGAGGUGCCCUCAGCCACUUCCGAUGGGCUCGCCCAGUUUGCCCGCCUCAAGCUGUGAGCUGAAUAAGAACACCCGGCGCUGCCACCAGCAGCCGCUGGCCACUCACCUCGCCUGCCGCCUCUACCAGACCUGCGACCACGCCGUGCUCCUCUCAGGUAGGACGCUCGGUGUCGGACCGCUUCUUCGCUCUCACCAAAGGUCCCCGAAAACAAACGCAAUCAAUUUGUCAUGGUUUCUUGGAGAUGGAGAUGACACAAGAGGAACAUAUUAGUUUAUGCUGAUCAAAAUCCAACCGCCAAUAGAGGCCGAGGUGCUUUGCUCCCUUCAUGACGCCCUGUCAACACGUGUGUUCACUACAGGCGGCUGGCAGCAGCAGAUGACGUUCCAGCGUCACGUUGAGAACCUCCAGAGGUUCUACAGAAUGCUGCGGAACAACGGCUUCCACAAAGAACACAUCAAGACCUUCUUCGCCAGCAGUGGACAGCUUCCCGGUACAAUCACUCAAGUUAUCUCAGAAAAUCUGAUUGUUUGUUUGCAAAAUGUUGGGGAGAUUUGGGCCAGAUCCUCAGGCCUUUGAGCGAUCUCUUGUUUUCUUACGUUUCUCGCAUUACCAGGAACAACUUUAAAGGAAAAUGGUUUCUCCUCUCAUUGCGUCCCAAAAAACAACAAACUCCACCUGAUAUCGCACUGUGCCGUCUCUCCAUCGUGUCCCCACAGGCGACGUGGAGGGAGUGUACUCGGCAACGGAGAAAGCGGCGAUCCGUAACCACGUGUCCUACGUGUGCAGGAAGCAGCACUGCGCCGACUCGCUGGUCCUCUACCUGAACUCGCCGACGCGCAACGACGGCGCCAUGCUGCUGUGGGACGCCAACCUCAACGGCAUCGUAAGAGUGACGCGCGCGUAGAAUGUCAGAGGGAAAGGGUUAGCCGGACAACGGGUUUGUAUGAAGGAUUUAAGGAUUUACUGUUUGUGUGUGUCUGUCAGACUGACAAGGACCACCCAAGUAUUUCUGUUGUUGUUCCCCAAAAUGUGAAUGUGAGCUCAUCGGGUAGAAGGAACAGACUGAGAGAGGGUUCAGCGGGCUGCGAUUAUUGGCUGUAAACAAGGACUCCUCCGUCUCUCUGCCCCCCCCCCCAGGCCGACUCUAAGGAGCGAUACUCGGUCAACGAGCUGCUGGCCGACCUGGCCGGCUGCAGGGCCGCGCGCGUGCUGCUGUUUGUGGAUCAGAGCUACAGCGGCGUUCUGUCCAAGAGGCUGCGGGGGUCCCAGAAACACCGCAACGUGGUUCUGAUCCAGAGCCAGAGCCGGCACGGCCGCCAGAGGUCGAGCCCCGGCUGGGACGAGGGCAGCUGGUCCCACGUCGGCCCCGCCAGCUGCCUGCUGGGCCACCUGGGGAAGGUGACAACGCCACACCGAAGGGUCGGUUUCGUCCUCUCUAAAAAUCGGUCUCUAACCACGUCUGUCAUCAGGGCACCGGGACGUCCCGCCUUCUGGAGCCGUGGGCCGGCCUUCUGAACGUGACGCUGGCCGGCGCCCCGUGCAACGCCACGCCGCCUCUGACGGAGGGCGAGAUGCGACGGGAGUACCAAGGCUGCCAGAACCUGGCCACCGCGCUCUGGCACCGGACAAACAGGAGGACCAACUGAGAGAGAGAGAGAGAGACGCUGAGCCCGAGUGGGAGAGAGAGAGAGAGAGAGAACUAAUUCAUUAUGGACACACGCACACAUCUUCACAUUACCAACAUAACUUAGGGCUUUAGUUUCAGUGUGCUUGGUGGACGCUGGUGUGUGUUCUCUGUCCUAACUCCGACAGUAACCAUGGCGAUGACAGCUCGUCCCCACCGGAGUGUCCCGAACACCAUGAGAACCAUGUGUGUGUGUGUGUGUGUGUGUGUGUGGUUGUGGGUUCAGCAAGAGGACAACCCCACUGAAACCAUCGCUGUAGCUUAUGCUGGUGUGUGUGUGUGUGUGUGUGUGUGUGUGUGUGUGUGUGUGUGUGCGCGUCACAGCUCACUUCAACAUUUCAGAGCCGUUCAACUUCUCUAUUUUCAAUGACACGCAGGAACUUUCCACUAUUUCUUUCUUUCUGUUUUCCGUCAGGGGUCCGUCUGCCCCUUUAGGCUACUUUCCUCCCAACCUUCCCUCUGGAUCUCCUCCUCUCUCCACUUUACUUCCCUCUUGCCUCCAUCUAAUUGUCUUCGAUUCCCUAUCACGUGGGUUUACCUCUCUAACCUCUAUCCCUCCUCGUUUAAUUUGUUCCUGUAUUUCUUUUAUUUUUAUUUCUUUUCCCUUCUGAGAGUUACACACUGAAAUCGUUUUGCAAAAAGCCGAAAGCGUUGAAGCGAGUUUAGUGCAUUUUUUAUUUGUGCACAAGAAAUGAAGAGAAAAUGUUUCGACGAAAAAGGCCAUUUGCCAUCUUUACCUGCGUCUCGCAGUUAAAAAGCCCCCACAUGGGUUCAUAGGCGGUCAGCACUGAGGGCCCCUCCAUCAUAUUCCCACACGUUCUCCCUCUCAACGGGUCUCCGUUGCGUCGGCUCUCAGGAAGCUGACACGACGCAUGUAACUGCAACUGAGAACGUGUUUCACAUUUUGUGACCAUUAAAGCACGUUGCCACGGUCAUCAUUUGUGUCAUCCAAAAGAGACAAACAGUCACCAGGAAUCCCACAGGGGGGACGCCGAGGAUUGUUCGAAAAGCAUAAAUAAAUGACACGCAGGAACUUAUUUUGCAGAUCGUGAGACGGGGGACAUUUGAGUUUGUUUUUUUUUCACCCGGCAGACGGACGGAGCGAGACAUCGAGGCAGCCAUGAAACGAGAGACGGAAACGUGUCAUGAUUAAGAUAUGAAGCUCUGAGACUGCUGCACAGACGGGCUAUGGCAUUUUAAUAAGGGCACAACUUGCGUGUGUGUGUGUGUGUGCGUGUGUGUGUGUACAACACAUGAAAACAUGCACUCGUUCUAACAUUAACCCUCCCCCACACUAACGACGUCCACCGGGUCCUCUGUGUGUGGUGGUACUUUGUGAUAUUUGUCUACUUUGUCCUUCUGAGUAACCAUGUAGUGUAUGAAGACGUGGUGUCCAUCCCAGUUCCUCCCAGGCGGGUUUUUGCACCGAUGACUGUUUUACACGAGAGACGUGUUAUUCCAAGAGAUUGGCGACGAUUGGGGGAAAAACUUUGCAAAGGCGUGGCGCAUUUUGGAGCAAACACCACGUCCAUCUGGUGGAAAUGUGCAUAUUCACAGUUGGUGUAACAACCUGUACAGAGAGACACAGAGUGCGAGGUGUCAUUUAGCAGGAUUGUGUCUACUUGCAUGCCUUCAAAUCACAACAUUUAGUCAAUAAAGUAUGUUUAGAAUCCAGUGAAGUACGUGAGAUUUAUUUGUCCCGACGAGCACAGGUUCCCUUUCUGUGUAAAUCACACACACACAAUCGAAUGGUGACAAUGUCCAGAGCUUUAACUGCAUGUUAUAAACCGGUCACUACUCAAUUAUUACCAUGUGGAGAUAAAGAUCCAUCUCUGAACAUCUGGGCCGGGAUUCAUAAUCAAACCAUCAACUAAAAAGCAACAUAUAUAUAUAUAUUUGAGCAAUCCGAACUAACUACGAUGUCUAUUUUCAUUGUUUCUACCAAAAAGAAAAUUGCGAACAUUUUUUUAGUUACGUUGGUGUCCGGACUCUGAUCAAACGCCUCUGUGUGAGAACCUGGACAUCAGCGUCUCCUUGGACACGCAGACAGCACGGAGCCGGGUCGAGGUCGGCGGUUGCAGCGCGGGGGGGGGGGGGGGCUUCCGGAGGGGGGGUCUGCAGGCUCCCCGAUUGCCACGGGGGUGUUUUUCCGCACCCUGCAAAGAACCAACAUCAAACCGCCCGGUGUGAAGGGAGCUCGUGAGGGGCGGAAGUCCCGAGGCGGAGCUCCUUAAGAGUGAAGUAUCGAUUUACAGAGAAACGCCGUGACACAAUUGUUGUUUGAGAAGCUUCCAUUGCUCACGAGACUCAGUCACUCUGCCCAUCUGCCUCCCUCUUUCUGGCCCCGGGGGCCGCGGAUAUAGAUUUACCCUAAACAGUGACCUUUGACCCCCGGCGCUCUCAGCCCAUCCGGGAUGUUUUCGCCAAAACAAUCUCAGUAACACAAUCGCCUGUGGUUGGAAACAGGUCGUGUUUAAUCUUCAGGAGCACCUCGACAUCGAGUGGAGCAUUUGGUCACUGUCAGGCCAGCGAUGAAGUAUAGCAUUUUAAAUUGUUCUUGCAUGAGGUCCAAUGAGAAUAACAGCAGCUGUACACAUCUCCAACGAGAUAAAACGUCAUACUGUUGUGGAAAAUCUCCUAUGUCAACGAGAGAGGAAGCCAAAGUUGAGCGUUGAUAAUGAAAAUAAAUUAAAAAAAACCUAUGGAAGUAGUUUCCUUUGGUGAAAUAUGUACAUCAAAGGUCACUUCAAUAACGCACUAUUUAUAAGGGUUGGAUUACAUCCUCAUAGCAAGUGUAAAUGUUAAAGCUGUUUCUGGAAGAUCGGUUUACGCUGCAGUCUCUUCAUCAUUGCUGGAAUGGUCAAAAGACGUGGUGAUUGGUUUGCGUCCAAACAGGAUCUCAAAAGGUUGCUUCGUGUCCUCGUCCUCACGUCCGUCAGAACCACGACGAAAAGCAAGGUGUGUUCGUAAGUCCUCGGCCAUGUAUGUCGUGCAUGUAUGUUCUCAGUCGUAGUUGGAUGUGAAACAUUCCCCCGGAGUCUACGAGUUUCCCCCGUUUACCAAAACCGUGUUUGUGUGCUUUAAAUGACACGACGCAUGUGUGUGUGUGUGUGUGUGCUGCUAUGAGUGAGUGAUAAUGUCCGUGGGUGCUUUCUGUUGCUCUGGUGUGUGUGUGUGUGUGUGUGUGUGUGUGUGUGCGUGUGUGCGUGUUUGUGGUUAGUGCAGGAAGCGUGUGCGAGUGUGUGUGCAU